UCUUUAUAUGAUGAACCGCGUACUUUUUGUAGAACGGUCCGGCGAGUUACGCUGGCUGGCGAGGUUAAGCACUGAAGGUGUGGAGCCGAAGGGAAACCAAGUCUGAACAGGGCGAAAUAGUCAGUCGGAGUAGACCCGAAACCGGGUGAUCUAUCCAUGUCCAGGUUGAAGUUGCCGUAAAAGGCAAUGGAGGACCGAACCCACAUCCGUUGAAAAGGGUGGGGAUGAGGUGUGGAUAGGGGAGAAAUUCCAAUCGAACCCGGAGAUAGCUGGUUCUCCUCGAAAUAGCUUUAGGGCUAGCCUCAUGCAAGUCUUACGGAGGUAGAGCACUGAAUUCCUAAGGGGGCGUCAAAGCUUACCAAGGGAUAUCAAACUCCGAAUGCCGUGUAGAUGGUGCAUGGGAGUCAGACUAUCCGAGAUAAGUUGGGUAGUCAAAAGGGAAAGAGCCCAGACCUACAGCUAAGGUCCCAAAAUGUGUGUUAAGUGGAAAAGGAUGUGGGAUUUCGAAGACAACUAGGAUGUUGGCUUAGAAGCAGCCAUCCAUUAAAAGAGUGCGUAAUAGCUCACUAGUCGAGAGGUCCUGCGCCGAAAAUGUCCGGGGCUGAAACACACUACCGAAGCUUAGGAAUUGAUGAACGUCAAUUGGUAGAGGAGCAUUCUUAACGGGGCGAAGCUGUACCGGAAGGAGCAGUGGACUGUUAAGAAGAGAGAAUGCCGGAAUGAGUAGCGAGAGGAAGGUGAGAAUCCUUCCGGCCGAAUAUCUAAGGUUUCCAGAGUAAAGCUGAUCUGCUCUGGGUAAGUCGGGGCCUAAGGCGAGGUCGAAAGACGUAGUCGAUGGAUAACAGGUAAAGAUUCCUGUACUGUAUCAUAACAGAACUGUGGGGACGCAGACAGAGAGCAUAAGCCGGGAAUGGAAA
rnacentral:rRNA from 1 species